UGGGGAAUAUUGGACAAUGGGCGAAAGCCUGAUCCAGCCAUGCCGCGUGAGUGAUGAAGGCCUUAGGGUUGUAAAGCUCUUUUAGCAGGGAAGAUAAUGACGGUACCUGCAGAAAAAGCCCCGGCUAACUUCGUGCCAGCAGCCGCGGUAAUACGAAGGGGGCUAGCGUUGCUCGGAAUUACUGGGCGUAAAGCGCGCGUAGGCGGACUCUUAAGUCGGUGGUGAAAUCCUGGAGCUCAACUCCAGAACUGCCUUCGAUACUGGGAGUCUUGAGUUCGGGAGAGGUGAGUGGAACUGCGAGUGUAGAGGUGAAAUUCGUAGAUAUUCGCAAGAACACCAGUGGCGAAGGCGGCUCACUGGCCCGAUACUGACGCUGAGGUACGAAAGCGUGGGGAGCAAACA
rnacentral:rRNA from 1 species